rnacentral:rRNA from 1 species
UAAUUGGGGGGUUAAAGUAUAUUUAUAGAAAAAAUUUUAAAAUUUAUAAAGAAUUAGUAUUGUAAAAGAAUUUUGAAAUAUUUAUAUGUAAAAUAAAUUUAAAAUAAAGUAAUUUUAAUUUAAUGUAUCUUGUGUAUCAGAGUUUAUUAAAUAAUAUUAAUAGUAAAUAAAUUCUCGAAUUUAAAAGAGAUAAUUAAUUAUAAAAGUUAUUGUUAUAUAAAUAUUUUAAAUAAUUAAUUUGAAAUGAAAUGUUAAUCGUUUUUAAAUAUAUCUAGUUUUUUUAGAAAAAAAUUUAAUUUUAAAUUAAUUAAUUAAAUAAUUAAUUAAUUAAUUAUUUAAUUAAUUAAUUUUAUAAUUUAAGGGAUAAGCUUUAAAUUAAAAUUAUAUAAUAAAAUAAUAUUAAUUUGAAAAUUAUAUGAUUUAUAUUGUUGAUAAAUUAUAAUUUAUUAUAAAUAAUUUCAAAUUAAAUAAAAUUUAAUUAAAAUUUAUAAAUAUUUAUAAAAAAAAAUAUUAAAAUAAAAUUAAUUUAGUUAUAAUGAUAAAAUUAGUAUAUAUGUAAAAUAAAUUUAAAAUAAAUUUAUAUUAAAAAUAUGUUUAAUUAUUUUAAAGGAAUUCGGCAAAAUUUUAUAUUCACUUGUUUAUCAAAAACAUGUCUUUUUGUAAAUAAUUUAAAGUCUAAUCUGCCCACUGAUAAUAAUUAAAGGGCUGCAGUAUAUUGACUGUACAAAGGUAGCAUAAUCAUUAGUCAUUUAAUUGAUGACUUGUAUGAAGGAUUGGAUGAAAUAUAAACUGUCUCUAAAAUAAAUUAUAGAAUUUAAUUUUUUAAUUAAAAAGUUAAAAUAAACUAAAAAGACGAGAAGACCCUAUAGAGUUUUAUAAAUUUAUAUAUUAAAUUUAUUUAUAAAUUUAAAAAAUUUAAUAUAUAAAUUUAUUUUGUUGGGGUGAUAGAAAAAUAUGAAUAACUUUUUUUUUUAAUUCAUAUAUAUAUAUAUAUAUAUAUAUAUAUAUAAUACAUAAAUAAAUGAAAAUAUGAUCCAGUUUUAUUGAUUAUAAGAAAAAAUUACCUUAGGGAUAACAGCGUAAUUUUUUUUUCUAGUUCAAAUAGGAAAAAAAGUUUGCGACCUCGAUGUUGGAUUAAGAUAAAAAUUAAAUGCAGAAGUUUAAAAUUUUUGAUCUGUUCGAUCAUUAAAAUCUUACAUGAUCUGAGUUCAAACCGGUGUAAGCCAGGUUGGUUUCUAUCUUUUGGAAAAUAAAAUAUUUUAGUACGAAAGGAUUAAAUAUUUAAAUUAAAUUUAAGAUAAUUUUUGAAUUUU